rnacentral:rRNA from 1 species
GGCUGAAACCCGCCUCCAUGAAGUUGGAUUCGCUAGUAAUCGCGCAUCAGCCAUGGCGCGGUGAAUACGUUCCCGGGCCUUGUACACACCGCCCGUCAAGCCAUGGGAGCUGGGGGUGCCUGAAGUUCGUGACCGCAAGGAUCGACCUAGGGCAAAACCGGUGACUGGGGCUAAGUCGUAACAAGGUAUC